rnacentral:rRNA from 1 species
UACGAGAGGCCCAAACGUUAUUCGGAAUUACUGGGCUUAAAGAGUUCGUAGGCGGCGCAGAAAGUAGGGUGUGAAAGCCCUCGGCUUAACCGAGGAAUUGCGCUCUAAACUACUGUGCUUGAGGAAUCUAGAGGUGAGCGGAACUGAUGGUGGAGCGGUGAAAUGCGUUGAUAUCAUCAGGAACACCGGAGGCGAAGGCGGCUCACUGGGGAUUUUCUGACGCUGAGGAACGAAAGCCAGGGGAGCGAACAGG